rnacentral:rRNA from 1 species
GAUUCAUGAUAACUUCUCGAAUCGCACGGCCUUGCGCCGGCGAUGGUUCAUUCAAAUUUCUGCCCUAUCAACUUUCGAUGGUUGGGUCUUGGCCCACCAUGGUGACAACGGGUAACGGAGGGUUAGGGCUCGACCCCGGAGAAGGAGCCUGAGAAACGGCUACUACAUCCAAGGAAGGCAGCAGGCGCGCAAAUUACCCAAUACCGACACGGUGAGGUAGUGACGAGAAAUACUGAUACAGGGUUCUUUUGGAUCUUGUAAUUGGAAUGAGUACAAUUUAAAUCCCUUAACGAGGAACAAUUGGAGGGCAAGUCUGGUGCCAGCAGCCGCGGUAAUUCCAGCUCCAAUAGCGUAUAUUAAAGUUGUUGCGGUUAAAAAGCUCGUAGUUGAACCUUGGGCCUGACCGGCCGGUCCGCCUCACCGCGUGCACUGGUUCGGUUGGGCCUUUCCCUCUGGGGAACCGCAUGUUCUUCACUGAGCGUGUCGGGGAACCAGGACUUUUAC